UAUUGUGUACAUGCCUAAAACGUUAAUGCAUUGGGUCCCAUUAGAACUCCGCAGUGAAUCGCACUUGGGAUAGAGUAGUAUUAGGAUGGGUGACCUCUCGGGAAGUCUUAGUGUUUUGCAUGCA
rfam:Picea glauca, whole genome shotgun sequence.